UGAAAUAGACAUACAUAACAUAUAUAAGUAUCAUCCUCACAACAAACACCAUCACAACAAUAUAAGUAUCAUGACAAACAUAACCAUCAUCGCAAACAUAAGCAUCUAAAGAAGCACACAAGUCAUCUAAAAGAUCACAAGUCAUCUAAAAAACCACCACCACCAAAAGACCACCACCACAAGUCAUCUAAAAGACCACCACCACAAGUUUGUGAUCACCACCACUGUCACCCAAAGGCUUAAGCGCUAGGACAUCCACCACCACCGCCAAGGUCAUCACCGCCAAGUCCGCUGAAGCCUAGGUCAUCCCUGCUAGCGGCAGCGCUACCGCCAAGACCGCCGCCGCCUCCGUGGAUAGGAGUGACCGGGCUCCGUGACUCGGGAGUGAUGCCAAGACCAGCACCACCACCAACGGUAGAUCCACCAGUUCCCUGGAUGUUAAAAAGACAUGUUAAGGGGAUAUAUGAUUGUGUUGAAUAAACAUUAUGCUUUGGGUGAAUAGUUUGAGAUGUACUAACCGGCGAGGGGCCAGGGUUCUGUGUCAGAAACUCCUCAAAAGUAAGAAG
rnacentral:lncRNA from 1 species